UCUGUCAUUAAGGAUUUUUCCAUAUGAAAUAUAGUUGAAGGUUAAGAGGAUCUUAGAUUUCUGCAUACGGUGCUCUUUUUCUCACGUGUGUAUGUGUAUAAAUGAAAGCUUGUAGGAAGUUUCAUUAUUCAAAUUAGAAACGAGUUUGAAGCUGAAAAGUCGAAUAACCCAUAAUGGAUUCACGUAUUUUGUGUGGAUUCUUAUUAAUUUCUCCUCUCUUCAUUGCAUAUUCAGGCGCAUCGCCAGUUCCUACGAAACUAGCCACGGUCAUCAAAUCAUCUCCAAAUCUUGAGAAGCUACACUGCAAGAACAAGGAAGCCAAGAUACACCAUUUACCGAUACACAAGCUCAAGAGGAUAGCAUUGCCUUGCAAUGAGGGAACGUCACCUGAAUGCUGUAUAUAGAGCGUCGCUCAUCCACCAAAUGCGGAUUUCAGUAUGCUACGUGUUUUAACAUUGUAUGACUUAGUCUGUAAUGGUGUGCUGAAGGAGACAAACACUUGAAUUGUUCCUAUUUUGUUAAUAGUGGCUAUAAAACAUUUUCAUGUUCAUAAAAUGUUAUAUUUCAUAGUUUCAUAUCUUCUUCUUUUGCACAAGACUGGCAAAGAUUUCAUGUUUUCAUAAGGUGCAAUGCCAGCGUGGGAACUGUUUCUCGGUGUUGGCACCUAAUAGAUAUAGGUUGCGUUUACGACGUGUGAGAGAUCCUUUCUGUUUUAUCUUCAUGGUGAAGGACUACAUAUAUUUGCCGAUACUUAUAAUACAAUCAGGGCCGAAUUUCCAGUUGUGGGGGGCCCAGGGGCAAUCAAAAUACAGGCCUGUAUCAGUAACAACAGAUUUAGUUUAUGACAGUUCUUUUCUUUUAUUUCUCAUAAUAGCAAAAAAUACAAACGAACUUUUCCUGAUUUUAGAGAAGCAAAUGCCAGAAUAAAAUCUGUUUCUCUUUUGUGGAGGCCCCGGGGCCUCCCCCCUAAAUCCGACCCUGAGUACAAAUUGAUGGGAACUACUCCAAUUUAUUCAGCAAAUCAGCCCCCAGUAUUAGCAGCCAUCACACACAAACAUGGUUCACGUGUAAAUAGACAAAACCCGUCAGUGAAUGUCAUACAAAGGCAUCAAAACCGCACUCGUAAGUUGCAGUUACUGAAAGUGUAUGUUCCAUUGCAUUUUAGAGCCAAAUACUACAGUGCCAAUCGUUUUGUGGGUUAUAGAAAUUAUUUGAAAGGUCUGAUUCCACCCGUGACCAGGUUUUCUGAGCCUCUGUUUCACGACCUUGUUAAGCAGUGGAAAGUAAUUUACAGUUGUGUGUCAUUUCUCUCUUUCGUAAUUUAUUGAACCUCGAAGUGUAGAAUGGCAUUUAAUAGUAGCCAUUACGAGUAUAGGGCAAAGGGAUUAAUAGGCCAGUGUCCAAACUGUAACUGUGGCUGGUCGGUUAGCAGAGGCACAAAUAUUGUUGUGAAGCAAAGUGACAUGACUUAUCCUACCGCAUAAGAGUCAUACAUAAUUUAUUUCCUUAAAAUAUUUACCGUAUUUAAAAGUGUUUCAAAUAAAAGUUGUAGAACUUAAAUAGGUCUAUAUUUUUACACUAGUUAUAUCUGUGGAAAUGUUAAAAUUUGAUUAGUGCUUCAUCUAAAGAAGGAGUUAUGCUAGACUGAUAUGAACAGAAAUUGAGUACCCUCUAAAACAUUUACUAUGCACCAACCAAUAGCAGAUUUAUACCAACAUCCGUUCAGUAGCUCACAAGAAUCCAUCACUCUCCUGACCCAGAUGAAUCUAGUGUAUACCCAUCCUAUUUAAUAUCUAUUUUAAUAUUAUCCUACUAUCUGUGGGGGCACGCGGUAGCGUAGUUG